rnacentral:miRNA from 1 species
AGAGUGACAGCAGAGAGAGAGCCUGCUUGCUGAAAGCUGUACCUGCCUCCCACCAUUGUAGCAAUAAACCUGCUAUCACUUCACCUGCUGUAUCUCCAUUGCUGAGUCUGCCUAAAUCACAAAUCUGC